AAUCAACGCUGGCGGCGUGCCUCAGACAUGCAAGUCGAACGAUUAAAGCUCUCUUCGGAGAGUGUAUAGAGUGGCGCACGGGUGAGUAACACGUAAGUAAUCUACCUUUGAGUGGAGAAUAACAGUCGGAAACGACUGCUAAUACCGCAUAAUGCAGCGGCAUCGCAAGAUGACAGUUGUUAAAGGAGCAAUCCGCUUAAAGAGGAGCUGCGGCAGAUUAGCUAGUUGGUAAGGUAAUGGCUUACCAAGGCUACGAUCUGUAUCCGGUCUAAGAGGACGGUCGGACACACUGACACUGAAUAACGGGUCAGACUCCUACGGGAGGCAGCAGUCGGGAAUUUUGGGCAAUGGGCGAAAGCCCGACCCAGCAACGCCGCGUGAAGGAUGAAGUAUUUCGGUAUGUAAACUUCGAAAGAAUGGGAAGAAUAAAUGACGGUACCAUUUAUAAGGUCCGGCUAACUACGUGCCAGCAGCCGCCGUAAC
rnacentral:rRNA from 1 species